CCCUUACCCAAUCACAUCCCCUUUACCUUGGUUUAAAAGAAACCCAAUCCGUUGUCUCUGGAGUUAUCUCUUUUGUUUUUGCGUCUAAAUCUCACAUUGUCCGUUAUCAUGUGACCCUGUACCUCAAAUCCAGAAGAGGCAACAUAUCCCAACGAUUCCAGCUUCUGCAGCCUUCAUGAGAAUGAUUCAGGAGGAGCAUGCUGGUGUCCCUGCCGCCCGACACACAAAACCAACAACUUCAAAACAAUUGCAGCCGGUAGCAACAAGAAGCGCUGCUUUUUGUGUGGACCCAAGAAGGACAGGAAGACACCGUACACAUGCAUCAAGUGGAAUAAAUACUUUUGCAACACACACAGUAAAACUCUGUCCCUCA